AUGUUGAAAAUAGGACAUGGUGGGUCUUCUGGUGCAAAGUUCCUGAUUUCCUGGGUCAUUUGGUGGGAGGCGUGAUCAACUGUGCAGACUGCAUGGGAUCCAGAAAUCUGUAUCUCAUCACUGUGACGUGGGCAUCGACAGGCGGCUGAGCCGACCUCCCGGCACUGCUGGCGGGGGAACCACGCCGAUGGCCAGGGUCAGGGAAGGCAAACCAGAGCGCAGAGAGAAGGUGCCUCCAGCAGCCGAAAUCCCACCGCGAAAGUAUACCAGAGAAGAAAUGGCACGUUUCUUAUUUUGAAGAUCACGUGGAGAUCAUAGCAAACAAUAAAGGCCAGAUGAAUGGUUCUGCUAUCCCAAGACCAGCCGUAACACAGAUUAAAAAAAACCAAAACCGUUAAAAUUAUUUGCCACCGCUCCUCC
rnacentral:lncRNA from 1 species